GGAUAAGGGGAAUCCAACUGUUUAAUUAAAACAAAGCAUUGUGAUGGUCCCUGUAGAUGCUGACACAAUGUGAUUUAUGCCCAGUUCUCUACAUGUCAAAGUGAAGAAAUUCAACUAAGCGUGGGUAAACGAUGGGAGUAACUAUGAAUCUAUUAAUGUAGCUAUAUGCCUCAUCAUAUAAUUAGUGAUGUACAUGAAUGGAUUAAUGAGAUUCCC
rnacentral:ncRNA from 1 species